ACUACACCCUUGUUCGACACGUCACCCUCUAUUACCUCACAAAGACUUGUGUACUUUCACUGUAUAGAUUUUGAAAUCAACAGUACUUAAAUGUGAUACAUACAAAACAAUUAGAUGAACUGGAUACAAGUCCAGGCUUUGCCUUAAUAAUUUGAGUUGAUAAAACUGAACCACGUGUACGCUAUUUUUUUGUGAAAAUUUCAAAGUUUAAGUCUAACUGUUGGAAAUACUAUACCAUAAAAGUACACAACCCUUUGUGGUGAAAGUGGGUGACCUAUGAAACAUAUAGUAUUCAAAUUUAGGAAUUAUGGACCAAAAUAUUUUUUUAUCAUAUAUGAAAUGUUUUUUUUUUUUUUUUUUUUUUUCAAAAACUAUGCAGUUAAAGUUAAAAAAAAUCAGUUUGAGGUGAUAGAGGGUGAUUUGUAGAACAAGGAUAUCAUCUCCAAAGCCUGGAAAGACACACACAGUCACAAACAGUCCAACACAAUCACACACAAACGUACACUAGAUCACACACUGUCACACACAUUUUACUUCUGUUGGCAUAAACUCCCAACUGGUUAAGUUUUAUAUUAAAUAUUUUUUUUUAUUUUCCUAUAACAAAAAUAUUUAUAUUUUGCAGGACAUCGCUGAAAAGAAAAUUGGUGGGCCCUCAGCUCCCCUUGCUGAAGAGGCACCACGCCCCUCCACCCCUCUUUCUUUUUUGUCCCCAUCCCCUCCCACUCUGUCACCCGUCCGUGCCCCUUCCCCAGUACCUGCCCUUUCCCCAAACCCUCCAGCUUUGACCCCGCCCUGUCCACCCUAUUCCCCUCUUAGCGGCCAAUCCUCCUCUUCUUCAUCCCCGUUGCCCUGUGAACAACCCUUGGCUCUCCUGGCUCUCCGUCACCCCAAACGCCUCUGUCUGCUUCCCCUCCGGCCUCUCCAGCACCCCCAUUGCCUCCGCCAGCUACCCUUGCGGCCUCUCCGACACCCCCAACACCUCCGCCUACUUCCCCUCUGGCCUCUCCAGCACCCCCAACAACUCCGCCUGCUACCCUUGCGGCCUCUCCAGACACUCCGCCAACCACCACGCCUCCAGCUGAAGCCCCUCCAGCCCCUAAACGCCAGAAAUGUGCUCCACAAACCACAACCGAACACACCUGCCCACUCUGCCAUAUUGACUACAGAGACAUUGGGCAACAUUUGAAAAAAACAGAAAAAAUAAAAAAUCCCGAUGAGCUACUCCUCCUCCAAAAGUACGCCCAUCUCCAUUUUUUGUCAAACCUGGAUUGUCCUCUCCCUGGCUGCAAAUCCCGGCAGGUCCAGCGCUUGGAUAAGCACCUAUCCAAAGUGCACAAAAUGCAGAAUCAUUUGGUGGGUCCAAAUCUGCUCUUAGCCAAAAGGCUGCAUGUGGCCCGGGAGCUGACUUUGCUCCGGGCCACAAAUCCGGACGCACCAAUGGUUUCCAGCCUGGACCUGGUGGACAAAUUAAAAAUUCGGGAGGUUGCAGCCAGGGAGGUGAAAAAUAUUGGCAUACAGAGGCUCCAGAGGGAGGAGGCCGGUGAGGACGCUGGCGUGGACGCUGGCGGUGACGCUGACGAGGACGCUGGCGAGGUGGCUCCAGCGGUGGUCCCUCCUAUCCCAAGUACACGUAGGGGACGCUCAAUGAAAUUGAAAUUAUUAUAUACACUAAGUACUCAGAGGUAUGUCUUGGGUAUCAGCACAGACAAAAAAUAAGCUUUUAUCUCACCUGCAGCUCUUCCGAUUUGGGGAAGACCAAGGGGCCGAACAGUCUGGCCCCAGCCACUCUGACCUGGAGGAGCGACUCCGAGUGGUCACGGGCCUCCUCCAGGAACAGAUGCGCAAAACUACGGAGCUGGAGGCCAGACUGAAAUCCGUUUUGCCCCAAGAGAGGGUGAGAAUCAUAAUUUUCCAAUCACAUCUUGGGAUAUUAUGUAUUAAUGACAAAAAAUGUUAGGGUGACCUAUUUAAAUUUUUUUUCAGACACAAAAGUUCGAGAGACGGAGGCCCCGGUCGCCCUCCCAGAUCCCUGCAUAUG